AAAAUGACUCUCGGCAACGGAUAUCUCGGCUCUCGCAUCGAUGAAGAACGUAGCGAAAUGCGAUACUUGGUGUGAAUUGCAGAAUCCCGUGAACCAUCGAGUCUUUGAACGCAAGUUGCGCCCGAAGCCAUCCGGUUGAGGGCACGUCUGCCUGGGCGUCACAC
rnacentral:rRNA from 1 species